GACGAACGCUGGCGGCGUGCCUAAUACAUGCAAGUUGAGCGCUGAAGGUUGGUACUUGUACCAACUGGAUGAGCAGCGAACGGGUGAGUAACGCGUGGGGAAUCUGCCUUUGAGCGGGGGACAACAUUUGGAAACGAAUGCUAAUACCGCAUAAAAACUUUAAACACAAGUUUUAAGUUUGAAAGAUGCAAUUGCAUCACUCAAAGAUGAUCCCGCGUUGUAUUAGCUAGUUGGUGAGGUAAAGCUCACCAAGGCGAUGUUACAUAGCCGACCUGAGAGGGUGAUCGCCCACAUUGGAACUGAACCCCGCCCAAACUCCUACGGGAGGCAGCAGUAGGGAAUCUUCGGCAAUGGACGAAAGUCUGACCGAGCAACGCCGCGUGAGUGAAGAAGGUUUUCGGAUCGUAAAACUCUGUUGGUAGAGAAGAACGUUGGUGAGAGUGGAAAGCUCAUCAAGUGACGGUAACUACCCAGAAAGGGACGGCUAACUACGUG
rnacentral:rRNA from 1 species